rnacentral:rRNA from 1 species
GACGAACCGAGCGAACGUUGUUCGGAAUCACUGGGCGUAAAGCGCACGUAGGCGGAUUGCUAAGUCAGGGGUGAAAUCCUGGAGCUCAACUCCAGAACUGCCUUUGAUACUGGCGACCUUGAGUCCGGGAGAGGUGAGUGGAACUGCGAGUGUAGAGGUGAAAUUCGUAGAUAUUCGCAAGAACACCAGUGGCGAAGGCGGCUCACUGGCCCGGUACUGACGCUGAGGUGCGAAAGCGUGGGGAGCAAACAGG